CCUACGGGAGGCAGCAGUGAGGAAUAUUUGUCAAUGGGCGCGAGCCUGAACCAGCCAAGUAGCGUGAAGGAUGACUGCCCUACGGGUUGUAAACUUCUUUUAUCAGGGAAUAAAGUGAGGCACGUGUGCCUUUUUGUAUGUACUUUAUGAAUAAGGAUUGGCUAACUCCGUUCCAGCAGCCGCGGUAAUUCGGAGGAUCCGAACGUUAUCCGGAUUUUUUUGGUUUAAAGGGAGCGUAGAUGGGUUGUUAAGUCAGUUGUGAAAGUUUGCGGCUCAACCGUAAAAUUGCAAUUGAUACUGGCAGUCUUGAGUACAGUUGAGGUAGGCGGAAUGCGUGGUGUAGCGGUGAAAUGCAUAGAUAUCACGAAGAACUCCGAUUGCGAAGGCAGCUUACUAAACUGCCACUGACAUUGAUGCUCGAAAGUGUGGGUAUCAAACAGGAUUAGAUACCCGUGUAGUC
rnacentral:rRNA from 1 species